rnacentral:rRNA from 1 species
CCUACGGGAGGCAGCAGUAGGGAAUUUUGCGCAAUGGGCGAAAGCCUGACGCAGCAACGCCGCGUGAUCGAGACGCCCUUCGGGGUGUAAAGAUUUGUCAGUGGGGACGAAAAUUGACGGUACCCACAGAGGAAGCACCGGCUAACUCCGUGCCAGCAGCCGCGGUAAUACGGGGGGUGCAAGCGUUGUCCGGAUUCAUUGGGCGUAAAGAGUUCGUAGGCGGCACGUAAAGUCUGGUGUUAAAGGCGGAGGAUCAACCUCUGUACGGCACUGGAAACUUGCGAGCUGGAAUGCGGUAGAGGUAAAGGGAAUUCGUGGUGUAGCGGUGAAAUGCUUAGAUAUCAGGAGGAACAUCGGUGGCGUAGGCGCUUUACUGGGCCGUAAUUGACGCUGAGGAACGAAAGCCAGGGUAGCAAAUGGGAUUAGAUACCCUUGUAGUC